rnacentral:tRNA from 1 species
GGGAAAGUGGCUCAGUGGUAGAGCACUUGCCUUACACGCAUAAGGCCCUGAGUUUGAUUCCUCAGUACCA